CGGGAAUGGCCAGAGUCAGCAGUCCGCAGAGCGUGGCGCAGGACAUGAGGCAGGCAAAGUAGUAGAGCAGCGAGCCCCGCUUCCAGCU
rnacentral:SRP_RNA from 14 species